GACACAGGGGACAUGUCCCCUGCGCUUUUUCAAAAGGCCGUUCUGGUCCCCUGCAGUUUUCACCGUCCGGAAACCAUGUUACGCUAUGGUAAACAGAGACUCGUCAGGCACUAGGACCAAGCGGAAACGGCCGCUCGAGCUGAAGCCAGUUUGCUUUCGUUUAGACCUGCCCACAAGCUCCUCCAUUGGCUCUGCAUUCCUUGUGUGAUUGGCCGUCCCCGCUGUCACUCCAUCAGGUUAUAAACAGCACCAGUACGCACACCGGUCUGCCAGUUGGGGAGGAGGCCGUGUUAAUCUUCCGCUGCGCAGCCAGGAUGUCUAAAAAAAGAAAAGUGGACAUAAGAGACUUCUUUCAAAGUCAAAGUGUAUGUUACUCAAAGAAAUGCGUUACACCAUCCUGCGACACCUUCACUGGCUCCCAAUAAAGCAGCACGUCCACUUCAAGAUCCUCCUCAUCAAUUACAAAGCUCUCAGUAAUCUUGUAAAGUGUAUUUGAGUUUUAUUGAAAGUGCUGAUUUUCUGAAAUUUCUGGAGGAAAGCAGAGGUACCAGUUUCUAUCAAUCGCUCUAAAAACCCCAUUUCCUAACUUUAGCCACGUAAAAUAUAUAUGCAGACGUUCAGGAAGAGCUCAGGAUGCUCACAGUGAAGCCGGUUCAAUGAUAGGAACUAACUACAGUUUGGCCAAAAAUGCUUCGGUUUCAGUUGUUUGUCUCUCAGCGGUGUCAAAUGUCACAGGAGCCAUCAUGACAUGACAUCAUCCUGUAAGGCUUAACAAGACGAGAAACUACUAUAACUGCCUAAAAUGACAGUGGUUCUGUGUUACAUUCAUUUUAAAUAAAUUUGAUCACUUGACUACUUA